GACGAACGCUGGCGGCGUGCCUAACACAUGCAAGUCGAACGGGACCAGGGGCAACUCUGGUUCAGUGGCGGACGGGUGCGUAACACGUGAGGAACAUGACCUUCGGCGGGGGAGUAGCCGGCCCGAACCGGCCGGGUAAUACCGCGUACGACCUUCCGGGGACGAUCCCUGGAUGGUGAAAGCAGCAAUGCGCCGAUGGAGUGCCUCGCGGCCUAUCAGCUAGUUGGUGAGGUAACGGCNCACCAAGGCGACGACGGUAGCUGGUCUGAGAGGAUGGCCAGCCACAUUGGGACUGAGACACGGCCCAGACUCCUACGGGAGGCAGCAGUGGGGAAUAUUGCGCAAUGGACGAAAGUCUGACGCAGCGACGCCGCGUGUGGGAUGA
rnacentral:rRNA from 1 species